GACGAACGCUGGCGGCGUGCUUAACACAUGCAAGUCGAACGGAAAGGCCCUGCUUUUGUGGGGUGCUCGAGUGGCGAACGGGUGAGUAACACGUGAGUAACCUGCCCUUGACUUUGGGAUAACUUCAGGAAACUGGGGCUAAUACCGGAUAGGAGCUCCUGCUGCAUGGUGGGGGUUGGAAAGUUUCGGCGGUAGGGGAUGGACUCGCGGCUUAUCAGCUUGUUGGUGGGGUAGUGGCUUACCAAGGCUUUGACGGGGAGCCGGCCUGAGAGGGUGACCGGCCACAUUGGGACUGAGAUACGGCGCAGACUCCUACGGGAGACAGCAGUGGGGAAUAUUGCACAGUAAGCGGAAGCCUGAUGCAGCAACGCCGCGUGCGGAAAGAAGGCCUUCGGGUUGUAAACCGCUUUCGCCUAUGACGAAGCGUGAGUGACGGUAAUGGGUAAAGAAGCACCGGCUAACUACGUG
rnacentral:rRNA from 1 species